rnacentral:rRNA from 1 species
GAUGAACGCUGGCGGCGUGCUUAACACAUGCAAGUCGAACGAGAAGUGGAGACGGAAACCUUCGGGCGGAAGACUUUACUUCGAGUGGCGGACGGGUGAGUAACUCGUGGGUAACCUGCCUCAUACAGGGGGAUAACAGUUUGAAACGACUGUUAAUACCGCAUAAGACCACAGCACCGCAUGGUGCGGGGGUAAAAACUCCGGUGGUAUGAGAUGGACCCGCGUUCGAUUAGCCAGUUGUCGGGGUAACGGCCCACCAAAGCGACGAUCGAUAGCCGAUCUGAGAGGAUGACCGGCGACAUUGGGACUGAGACACGGCCCAAACUCCUACGGGAGGCAGCAGUGGGGAAUAUUGCACAAUGGGGGAAAUGCUGAUGCAGCGACGCCGCGUGAGUGAAGAAGUAUUUCGGUAUGUAAAGCUCUAUCAGCAGGGAAGAAAAUGACAGUACCUGAGUAAGAAGCCCCGGCUAACUACGUG